UGGGGAAUAUUGCACAAUGGGCGCAAGCCUGAUGCAGCCAUGCCGCGUGUAUGAAGAAGGCCUUCGGGUUGUAAAGUACUUUCAGCGGGGAGGAAGGGAGUAAAGUUAAUACCUUUGCUCAUUGACGUUACCCGCAGAAGAAGCACCGGCUAACUCCGUGCCAGCAGCCGCGGUAAUACGGAGGGUGCAAGCGUUAAUCGGAAUUACUGGGCGUAAAGCGCACGCAGGCGGUCUGUCAAGUCGGAUGUGAAAUCCCCGGGCUCAACCUGGGAACUGCAUUCGAAACUGGCAGGCUAGAGUCUUGUAGAGGGAGGUAGAAUUCCAGGUGUAGCGGUGGAAUGCGUAGAGAUCUAGAGGAAUACCGGUGGCGAAGGCGGCCCCCUGGACAAAGACUGACGAUCAGGUGCGAAAGCGUGGGGAGCAAACAGG
rnacentral:rRNA from 1 species